rnacentral:rRNA from 1 species
AUGAACGCUGGCGGCGUGCCUAAUACAUGCAAGUCGAGCGAACGGACGAGAAGCUUGCUUCUCUGAUGUUAGCGGCGGACGGGUGAGUAACACGUGGAUAACCUACCUAUAAGACUGGGAUAACUUCGGGAAACCGGAGCUAAUACCGGAUAAUAUUUUGAACCGCAUGGUUAAAAAGUGAAAGACGGUCUUGCUGUCACUUAUAGAUGGAUCCGCGCUGCAUUAGCUAGUUGGUAAGGUAACGGCUUACCAAGGCAACGAUGCAUAGCCGACCUGAGAGGGUGAUCGGCCACACUGGAACUGAGACACGGUCCAGACUCCUACGGGAGGCAGCAGUAGGGAAUCUUCCGCAAUGGGCGAAAGCCUGACGGAGCAACGCCGCGUGAGUGAUGAAGGUCUUCGGAUCGUAAAACUCUGUUAUUAGGGAAGAACAUAUGUGUAAGUAACUGUGCACAUCUUGACGGUACCUAAUCAGAAAGCCACGGCUAACUACGUG